CAGUCGCCGCGGUAAUACGUAGGAGGCUAGCGUUGUUCGGAUUUACUGGGCGUAAAGGGUGCGUAGGCGGAUUGUUAAGUCUGAUGUGAAAGCCCCCGGCUCAACCGGGGAGGGUCAUUGGAAACUGGGAAACUUGAGUGCAGAAGAGGAGAGUGGAAUUCCACGUGUAGCGGUGAAAUGCGUAGAGAUGUGGAGGAACACCAGUGGCGAAGGCGACUCUCUGGUCUGUAACUGACGCUGAGGAGCGAAAGCGUGGGGAGCGAACAGGAUUAGAUACCCGGGUAGUCCCUGUCUCUUAUAC
rnacentral:rRNA from 1 species